ensembl:lncRNA
CUACGUAAUUUUUUCAGGCCAAGGUACCGAACAAAUAUGAAAAGAUACAAAGAUAAGGUUUAGCUAGAUAAAGAUUUAGCUGGAUGAGUGAAUAAAAAGGGUGGCGGUUAUAAAGAUUGUAGCGAAUAAAGAGAGAUGACAGAAGAGUGGGGUCGGUUGUAGAGUGCGAAGCGGGCAAGUUUAAAGGUGGGAGACACUAAGACCAUCUUCUAUGCCUGAGAGUCCUUCCUCCCCUUCAGUUUUCUGAGGGGACAAGCCCAAUGGGAACCUCAACUUGGGAGCUAUUUACUGAUGAUGACAACCCUGUGGAUUUGUUCACUCCAUCCUAAAGAGGACUUCCCGUCAUAGUACUUUGUGCAUGGAUUUAGGAAAAUUUGAAUGAUUCAAGUAGAGAUCCAUGCGUCUCUCUGGCAUGUACUCCCCGAGGGAGCUGCAAUCAAAACUCCAGGGAUGGAAAGCCAGAGACAGAACCACAUGGAUGAAGCUCUGCAUUGCUCGAGAAUACCUCCUUCAGACACAUCAUCUUCUUCCCCUGCACUUGUCUUUCACGUACUUGAUUCUGGCAGUGGCAUUAUGAAGAACUACAGGACUGAAGCAGUAAUGACACUGCAUUCCCUGCAGAACAAAGAGCUGCUUCUGCCACGCUGUGCGUUGUGUUCCAUGACAGGCUUAUCCAGCAGAACCAGGGAAUAACCUAACCGGACCGAGACUGCAAAGAAACGCAGUCCUGAAAUGAGCAAGAACUGGAUUUAACACCCAAGUUUUCCUAGUGAGAAAAGUACCUCCAAAAAUUAAACCAAACCAAAGGUGACCUGUGUGUCUUGUGCAAGGAGGAUCAGCUCUGCUCCAGAAGCCACGGCUGUUUCACUGACUGUGACAUAGCGAAAACUAAACGGCUGGCAUAUCAGCCCACCAACAGACAGAUCACAUGCCUUCCACCAAUGAAGUGAGCUAUCUGAUGCUAGCCUUGCUGAAGCUUCAAGUCCCUGCUGCUCUCCCUUUCUUCAGAGAGAACUCCUGCCGGGUUGGUGAUGUUUGCUCACUCAUUGAAAUCACAGAGCUGGUCCACAGCUGCACAAGUUUCACUGCUGGGAGGCUGCCUUCUGCUAGUCGAGUACCAUGGGAAGGAUCAAGUGGAGGAGAGCUGCACUAAUCAGAAGACACGCUGUCUGGGAAGCAAGCCCAUUUUGUUCUUCCAGAAUCCCUCCCACUGCAAGCACCAGACCUCAAAAUGACCCAGAGAAAGCCUCUCCAAUCCAAGUAAUUUAAAUGCAAUGAAUGUGAUUUGGCUUCUAGUUAGUUCCCUUGGAAGUAAUGAAAGAGGUAAUUAAAGACUGGACAACUACCUUAAGUAAAACAUUACACCUUAGAGCAAAAACAUUUCAGAAAAAACUGUUUGGAGGCUGUGAAAGCCAACUCCAUGCCUGCCUGAGUGGGGAACACAGCAUCUUUCUGUAGGUCCCACCACACUUCCACACACAAGCUGUGAAAAGAUCAGAUAAGUGGUAAGAUUUUCCUACACUGUCCUUUCCACCAACAUUACUUCUGACUGCAAGCUGCAGUUUUUCCUCAUCCAGUCCUCCUAUGCUGUCCUGAAACACUUGCCCUGAACUUCUAGCAGAAGAGUCAGGGAAAAGAAAAUGCUGAAACUACGUUUUACAGAUUAUGACUUGCAUCUGGAGAAAGUGGAUCACCCUGGUUAAAGGUCUGACACAGAGUGAAAAAGAGUCACCCAGGAGCACCUUCGACAAGUGAAUUUGAUUAGCGCCUUGCUUUUGAGGAAGCACAAGUAUUACCAGCCCCAAAAAAUACAUCCUAACAAUUUAGUGGAUGGUGCUUCUGUGAUAACAACAGAACAGGUAGUAAAUUUCUUCUCCAAAUUAAAGUGGAACAACAUCUGCUAUUCAGUCAACAAACAGUGCCUUCUAUAAGAUCCUAAAAGCAAUUUCUCAAAAAAAAAAAAAAAAGUAAAAUAUCCCAAACCACUUUAAGUAUAUUUACCAAGGUGAAGAUAAAAAGCAGCAUAACUCUAUCUGUGCACACAUCAGAGCAACAACCCAACCACCACAUAAUUUUAUUAAAGCACAUAAUGAGUGCUCAACUAAACUCUCUAUAGUAAUUCUGAGUAUAUCUUUGCUCACUCAACAUUUGUCCAUAAACAAUGGGUGCCUAUGAUCAGUUGAAGUGAGCAGUACCAGGACUAAUUCAUUUACAGCAUUCAGCUUCAACCCUUGCAGUUAAUUCUACACUACAGACUGCUUUACCAGCCCAUAGCACAUCUUAACUAGAACAGGGACUUUGAAAUGCAGUUUUGCUCUACCACCAGCAAUUAUUUCUGUCCUUAUGGUAUGCUUUAUCAGCUGCAUAUGAAGCAUAAGGAACUCAUGGAAUCUCAGAAAAAGCAAACAUCACAGUAGAUCUUUGUAAGCAAGCUUAAUGCUAUGACGCAAUGGAAAAUACAGCAAUAAUAGCAGGAUGACACAACUCUAGGCUGCAGCAAAUGAGAACAAGCUCAAAAAACAACAGCUAUAAAUGCAGAAACAAAAGAAGAAAAACUGCUUACCUGUAGAAGACCUUCAGUAGACAGGAACCUCCCACAGAAGAUACCUUUACCUCCGCUGCCAACCCUUAAAUGAGGUCUGGGAGGGGAAUGGAUCCUGGCUCCACCCCUUCUCGUCACUCAGGAGCAUUGCAUGCACCUGAGCUCCCCUGGAUUGGCCCUGCCUUCCCACCAGGUGCUCAAUCACCGUUUCAGGUCAUGACAUUUCCACUACAUCAGGUAUGAGUGUUUUGGAGAACUAUCGUUUGAAGAAUGCAGCUGCUUUUCACUGGUUGGUAUCUACAUGUGUAUGGAGUUCUGUGCAGUGGUUGAAUGUGCAGCGCUUCGAGACCUUUCGGUACGCGGGGAGAUUAAGGAACCACAGAGCUUGAGAGAGAGGAGUUUGCAUCCCUUGUGAGAAUUCUGAUAUCCCUGUGUUCAUAUAUGUUGAUAUUCUCUUCUGAAUGGUGACCUGUUUACGUUGGAUGGAGCCUAAAGACCCAAAGACCCUGGAUAUCCUUGGACUGAGUUGCUUAAGGACACGUUGCUUUCCAAAGACCCUGAAGAAUGGUGUGCUACCAAGGAUUUUUCAGUCCCAGCUGGCAGCGGAGGGGCGGUCUGACAAAAUGGCACCUGACAUGGAACUGUGGAUGAGGAGAAGGUGUGGAAUUGAAUUCUUCCAUUCAGAAAAAAAAUGCAUCUAUUGAAAUCUUGGUAUGUCUCUGGCUAUAGCACUGUCACCCUCUGGGCCAUGAAGCAGUGAACUGUUUCGCUACUCAGUAGCAAGGAAGUUAAGUUUGUCUAUCCUGGUGAGAUUUGAGGAGAAAAUCUGUUGCUGAGGACAAGAAGUGCCUGUAAGUUUGCCGGGCAGGACAAAUAUGAGCUCCCAUCUAUUGUGCUGGCCGUAGGAACAGACCAUCACCUCUCCCUUUCCCAGACUAAGCUCCAAUUAAUUUCCACUCAGAGGUAAACUCUGAUACUCGGAUACAGUGAACAAAUACAAGUAUUCAGACUGGCUCCUUUUAGGAGUAUGUGCAGCGGAACAGCUCUGCUCCCCCAGACAAAAUACUUUUUAUGUGAAGUAGGCUACAAUGAAAUUCAGUGACUCUGUUUCUUAGUAGCAGCAUCCACUAGGCAUUGUACUAAAUUUUAACAACGGAACUUAAAAUACUUAUUCAGAUUGGUGCUUCUGACUGUCCGUACAUUGCAAUGUCUGCAAUUAAAAUACAAAAGUAUGAGUAUUGAUUGCAAAAAUAACAUAUAGAUAGAAUAGAAUUCAUAUAGUUCAGAAAAUACUUAAGGUUUGUACAGUGAUGUGACUUUCUGAGGCAUCUAUGGUUAGUGGGCAGUAUUGGUGGCAGGUGGACGGUUGGACUAGAUGGUCUUAGAGGUUUUUUCCAACCUUAAUGAUUCUAUGAUCCUUGAAUACAAGAUAUUGCAUCUCAAGGACUCAUCUCCAGGCUUGCUUCCUAGCAAAUCGAUCUUUUCAACUGCUUUUUCUUGCUAGUUGAGCCUUUAUGCUGGUCUUUUCACGCAAAAACCAGCGAGGAGUCUGGGGAGUGAGGGCAACAUCCUUUCAGAGCACAUCUUUCAUGGAUGAGUGCAAUACUUUGUUUUGAAAAAGCAAAAAUCAGUGAGUGUGACAAAGAGCCGCUCCCAAAGCUGCAGCUGCCUUCUGAGCAGCAGGUAAGUUCUGUGGCUGAUGAGCAGGGAAGCCACAGGAAAGCAGUUAUCAUGGCAUCAGUGUGAGAUCAGAGUGCCUUUUGCUUGAAGCGCUGAGAGAAGGCAAAGAGGGGAGGAGAGGUUUUGCAUUGGCUGUGCCAAUCUGAGCCUUGUUUGCUCUGCAUUUGAGAGGUCUGAGAGGGAGAGUUAGCAUUUCUGAGUGCAUUUUUGAGCAGCAGUUCUUCUACUCUGA